rnacentral:lncRNA from 1 species
GGCCAAGAAUUAAUGGAGGAUACCUGAAGAUUUUUCUUUCCACAAUGUGAUAUAACUGGUGCAUAGAGCCUCCUUGGAUCUUCCAAAAAUAUCAUCUUCAGGUAUGUAUGCCUCCUUCAAAUAUCAUGUUAUUUUACAUACUUGCAUCAGACCAAGACCGAGGACAGCACUCAAUGCGAAAACAAAAAUUUGCUAAGCUAAGAAAAUACCUUGCUUCAUGGAAAAGCCUACAGGAGCCAAGUCAAAAUUGUCAGUUUGCAAAGCCUGGAACCAGAGUGGUGCUGUCAGUUGCAAAAAUCACAUGGCUUAACCCAAACUGACCUGCAAAUUUG